rnacentral:rRNA from 1 species
GACGAACGCUGGCGGCGUGCUUAACACAUGCAAGUCGAACGGAAAGGCCCUGCUUUUGUGGGGUGCUCGAGUGGCGAACGGGUGAGUAACACGUGAGUAACCUGCCCUUGACUUUGGGAUAACUUCAGGAAACUGGGGCUAAUACCGGAUAGGAGCUCCUGCUGCAUGGUGGGGGUUGGAAAGUUUCGGCGGUUGGGGAUGGACUCGCGGCUUAUCAGCUUGUUGGUGGGGUAGUGGCUUACCAAGGCUUUGACGGGUAGCCGGCCUGAGAGGGUGACCGGCCACAUUGGGACUGAGAUACGGCCCAGACUCGUACGGGAGGCAGCAGUGGGGAGUAUUGCACAAUGGGCGGAAGCCUGAUGCAGCGGCGCCGCGUGCGGGAUGACGGCCUUCGGGUUGUGAACCGCUUUCGCCUGUGACGAGGCGUGAGUGACGGUAAUGGGUAAAGAAGCACCGGCUAACUACGUG